AGAUUAAUGGAAUAAUCCUUAUUCAUGUUCGCGCUGGGCGGCUGGAGCGCGGCCCUCUUGCUCAGAUAUCGGACCGAGGAUGGGGGACACAUGGAGCCUCUUCACCGGUGCCGCUGCUCGCUGGAGGAGGAUGGCGGAGCGGCGGUCCGUCUGAUCAGCUGCUGCUCAGGGGCCAUGAUGGGUCACGUGAGGAGCCCAGAGAACACCACACCAAAGGACUGGAUGGAUUAGUUUGAAGGCAAACACCUGACACAUGAUCAGAGCUGGGAUAGGAAUGACUUCUGGACCUUUUGUGGAGAAAUUCCAGCUCCUCUAAAUGGCCGAAGGGUGUGUUUCCAAAGGCAGAAGGAAUCAUUCAACUCCACAGGCAUUGUGACUCACAUCUUGGGCAGCUCAUCUGAAUAUAUCACAUCUGUCAGAGUGACCUGAUUCACUGGAAUGAUCAAGUCUUAGCCUGAGUCACCACCACAGACCACUGAAUAAACGCAACAUGACACCAGGGCAUAUUCCUCACCAUAAAGUUUCCCUUUCAGUUAAGGUGUUUUUGAGGGGGCUGGUGGUGGUACAUUGUCAUACAGGGGGCCUUGGCAAACUACCAAAGGGGGAGCAGGAUGAUUUUUAAAAAAAUUAAGAUUAUUAUUAUUAAAAGAUAUAAUAUAAAAUUAUAAUAAUAAAUGUAAAUGUACACUACCAGUCAAAAGU